rnacentral:RNase_P_RNA from 1 species
CGAGGCGGCCAGGCGAUCGCGGCACCCACGGGUGUCGAGGAAAGUCCGGACUCCUCAGAGCAGGGUGGUGGGUAACGCCCACCCGGGGUGACCCGCGGGCAAGUGCCACAGAAAACAGACCGCCUCGGCGUACGCCGGGGUAAGGGUGAAAAGGCGGUGUAAGAGACCACCGGCAUCCCGGGCGACCGGGGUGGCCAGGUAAACCCCACCCGGAGCAAGACCAGACAGGCGGCGUUCGAGGGUUGCUCGCCCGAGCCGCCGGGUAGGUUGCACCAGGCCGUUGGCAACAACGGUCGCAGAUGGAUGAUCGCCCUCGACAGAAUCCGGCUUACCGGCUGCCUCGUCCC